UAGGGAAUAUUGGUCAAUGGAUGCAAGUCUGAACCAGCCAUGCCGCGUGCAGGAAGAAGGCCUUCUGGGUUGUAAACUGCUUUUACCGGGGGAUAAAAAGUCCAUGCGUGGACAAUUGAAGGUACCCGGUGAAUAAGCCACGGCUAACUACGUGCCAGCAGCCGCGGUAAUACGUAGGUGGCAAGCGUUGUCCGGAUUUAUUGGGUUUAAAGGGUGCGUAGGCGGCCUGUUAAGUCAGUGCUGAAAUAUCCCGGCUUAACCGGGAGGGUGGCAUUGAUACUGAUGGGCUUGAGUGGAGUCGAGGUAGGCGGAAUUGACGGUGUAGCGGUGAAAUGCUUAGAUAUCGUCAAGAACACCGAUAGUGUAGACAGCUUACUAGACUUCAACUGACGCUGAGGCACGAAAGUGUGGGGAUCAAAC
rnacentral:rRNA from 1 species